rnacentral:rRNA from 1 species
GGCGGCAGGCCUAACACAUGCAAGUCGAGCGCACCUUCGGGUGAGCGGCGGACGGGUUAGUAACGCGUGGGAACGUACCCUUUUCUACGGAAUAGCCUUUGGAAACGAAGAGUAAUACCGUAUACGCCCUUUGGGGGAAAGAUUUAUCGGAGAAGGAUCGGCCCGCGUUAGAUUAGAUAGUUGGUGGGGUAACGGCUUACCAAGUCUACGAUCUAUAGCUGGUUUUAGAGGAUGAUCAGCAACACUGGGACUGAGACACGGCCCAGACUCCUACGGGAGGCAGCAGUGGGGAAUCUUAGACAAUGGGCGCAAGCCUGAUCUAGCCAUGCCGCGUGAGUGAUGAAGGCCUUAGGGUCGUAAAGCUCUUUCGCCUGUGAUGAUAAUGACAGUAGCAGGUAAAGAAACCCCGGCUAACUCCGUGCCAGCAGCCGCGGUAAUACGGAGGGGGUUAGCGUUGUUCGGAAUUACUGGGCGUAAAGCGCACGUAGGCGGAUUGGAAAGUUGGGGGUGAAAUCCCGGGGCUCAACCCCGGAACUGCCUCCAAAACUAUCAGUCUAGAGUUCGAGAGAGGUGAGUGGAAUUCCAAGUGUAGAGGUGAAAUUCGUAGAUAUUUGGAGGAACACCAGUGGCGAAGGCGGCUCACUGGCUCGAUACUGACGC